AUGUCUGAAAAGGGACCUGAAAAAGAUUAUUCUAGGAAGGAAGCAAUGAUAUUUGGAACUGGCGUGUGUUACACGGUUCGCCUUUCAUUUCCUGAGUCUCACUCCGUCGCCCAGGCUGGAGUGCAGUGGCACCAUCUUAGAUCACUGCAACCUCCGCCUCCCAGGUUCAAGCAAUUCUUCUGCCUCAGCCUCCCUGAGUAGCUGGGAUUACAGGAGCAUGCCACCACAUUUGGCUUGAGGAAAGAGAUCCCAGAAGCCUGACAUGCUAGCAAAAGGUAAAAGUUUUUUUUGGCCUCCCUCUCCCCAUGCAAACUGGUAAAAGAAAUGGUAAGGAUCACGAUUUAUAUUCUCUGUAAAGUUUUGAUUAAUGAAAAAGAAUUUAUGAGGUUGGUGUCAAGCUGUAGCCACUCUGGUGUGCUUCGUAUGUCUUUCUGUAUGGUUCUGUCAAAAGAAAGGGCUACCUUAGGAUAGGAUGCAGGCCGAGGCCCACAUAAGCCUGCUGUUCAAGUCAGCCUGGGAAACUGGCAGUGACAAACCUUGCCAUCUUGUUUUAUGUCCUCAGAAGGGUGACCUAUAACCAUGUGGCAGUAGUUGGUUUUAGUCUCUGCCAUUUUACAAUGGUGGCCACGUUCAAUCUUGACUUAGGGAAUGAGUACUUCCUGGCUAAUGUCUGACUUUUACCAUUUGUGACUCUCUGCCCCUCCAUGAACAACUUCUGCCUUCCUUUCUUGAAAUUCCUUUCCUUGAGCCGCCUUUCAAAGUCCUAGAUUUUGUAAAAACUGCUUACCACCUCUUUGAGAAUACCUCAUACAGUGGUCAUAAAGUCAUAACCUUAAUUGAGGCUUGUUGAUUUCACCUGCGAGGUCACUUUUGGUAAAGUUCAAAAGCCAGAAAUAUUGGCCAACUGGCAUGGCUGAAGUCGGGUAACAAGGGAAGUAAAAGUGUCAAUGAAAAGAGUCAAACUCUGUAAAAUAUUAGAAGAGAUUUAUUCCGAGCCAAAUGUGAAUGACCAUGGCCUGUGACAUCAUCCUCAGGAGGUCCUGAGAACAUGUGCCCAAGGUGGUCAGGGCGCAGCUUGGUUUUAUACAUUUCAGGGAGGCAUGAGACAUCAAUCAAAUACACUUAAAAAAUACAUUGGUUUGAACCAGAAAGGUGGGACAACUCAAAGCGGGGACUUCCAAGCUGUAGAUAAAUUUAAACA
rnacentral:lncRNA from 13 species